rnacentral:miRNA from 1 species
CGCGCCGGGCCCGGGUU